rnacentral:lncRNA from 1 species
AAAAUGUGUUACCAAAAAAAGUUGUACUACUGUGUUUUGAGCUAACAUACACCUUUUGCUAACAUUCCCGUUCUUCAGCCUAGAGCUUCUUAGGAGCUAGACUUCCAACACUAUCUGAAAAGCUCUUAGUCCGGCUGACUUCCCUGAACAUAGUAAGGAGACAUGUCUUUAGCUAUAUUUUACCUCUUUGGCUAGUUUGGAUUGUCUAAGCUCAGAUUAAAAGAACCUCUUUAUUCAGUUAAAGUUUAAUGACACAAUAUACUUUGUCUUUUUUUCUACUUUUCAGGUCAGGAAUAAAUUAGAUGGUCAGUAUUAUGCAAUAAAAAAAAUCCUGAUUAAGGGUGCAACUAAAACAGUUUGCAUGAAGUCCUACGGGAAGUGAAGGUGCUGGCAGGUCUUCAGCACCCCAAUAUUGUUGGCUAUCACACCGCGUGGAUAGAACAUGUUCAUGUGAUUCAGCCACGACAGACAGAGCUGCCAUUGAGUUGCCAUCUCUGGAAGUGCUCUCCGACCAGGAAGAGGACAAGAGCAAUGUGGUGUUAAAAAUGAUGAAAGUAGCAGCUCAUCCAUUAUCUUUGCUGAGCCCACCCCAGAAAAAGAAAAACGCUUU